GAGCCCUUCAAAUUAGAAUAGUGAUGAUGAUCUUGUCAAUGCUGAGUUUUUCAUGCAUCAACAGCCACUACAUCUGGAUCAGAUUGAACAAGAAACAGACAGCAAGGGUUGUCAGAUCAGAAACAGAAUGACACACAAGAAACUUCACAGGCUGAUCAACAUGCAAUUUGAAGACGUGUGAUAAAAUACAGAGAGGUGAAGUAGUGUGUUUUUCCAGAUCCCCAAAUCAUUCCUUCUUAAAAGGUAAUGAAU